GAUGAACGCUGGCGGCGUGCCUAACACAUGCAAGUCGAGCGAUGAUUUUCUCUUCGGAGAAAUGAUUAGCGGCGGACGGGUGAGUAACACGUGGGUAACCUACCUCAUAGAGGGGAAUAGCCUUCCGAAAGGAAGAUUAAUACCGCAUAACAUUGUCGAGUGGCAUCACUUGAUAAUCAAAGGAGCAAUCCGCUAUGAGAUGGACCCGCGUCGCAUUAGUUAGUUGGUGGGGUAAUGGCCUACCAAGACGACGAUGCGUAGCCGACCUGAGAGGUGGACGGCCACAUUGGGACUGAGACACGGCCCAGGACUCCUACGGGUGGCAG
rnacentral:rRNA from 1 species